AGUUUGAUUCUGGCUCAGAACGACGCUGGCGGCGCGUUUUAAGCAUGCAAGUCGAGCGGCAAGGGCCUUCGGGCCCCUAGAGCGGCGGACGGGUGAGUAACACGUGGACAAUCUGCCCCCCGGCCCGGGAUAGCCCAGGGAAACCUGGAUUAAUACCGGAUGAGACGGGACCCGCGAUGGCGGGACCCGGGAAAGGCGCUGCGGCGCCGCCGGGGGAUGAGUCUGCGUCCCAUUAGCUAGACGGCGGGGUAACGGCCCACCGUGGCGACGAUGGGUAGCCGGCCUGAGAGGGUGGACGGCCACAUUGGAACUGAGACACGGUCCAGACUCCUACGGGAGGCAGCAGCUAAGAAUCUUCCGCAAUGGGCGAAAGCCUGACGGAGCGACGCCGCGUGAACGAAGAAGGCCGUGAGGUUGUAAAGUUCUUUUCGGGAGGGGGAACAACCGUGGCAGGGAAUGGCCGCGGGAUGACGUGAAUCCCGGAAUAAGCCCCGGCUAACUACGUGCCAGCAGCUGC
rnacentral:rRNA from 1 species